AACCAGCACCCCAACUUUGGAC
rnacentral:miRNA from 2 species